rnacentral:rRNA from 1 species
AUUUUGGGCAAUGGGCGAAAGCCUGACCCAGCAACGCCGCGUGAAGGAUGAAAUUUUUCGGAAUGUAAACUUCGCAAGAACGGGAAGAAUAAGUAGAAGAUAAUACCUUCUAUGAUGACGGUACCGUUUGUAAGCUCCGGCUAACUCCGUGCCAGCAGCCGCGGUAAUACGGGGGGAGCAAGCGUUGUUCGGAUUUACUGGGCGUAAAGGGCGCGUAGGCGGUCGUGACAAGUCACUUGUGAAAUCUCCGGGCUUAACUCGGAACGGUCAAGUGAUACUGUCGGACUAGAGUACAGAAGGGGCAACUGGAAUUCUCGGUGUAGCGGUGAAAUGCGUAGAUAUCGAGAGGAACACCUGCGGCGAAGGCGGGUUGCUGGGCUGAUACUGACGCUGAGGCGCGAAAGCCAGGGGAGCGAAC